rnacentral:rRNA from 1 species
GCCCAGACUCCUACGGGAGGCAGCAGUGGGGAAUAUUGCACAAUGGGGGAAACCCUGAUGCAGCGACGCCGCGUGAGUGAAGAAGUAUUUCGGUAUGUAAAGCUCUAUCAGCAGGGAAGAAAAUGACGGUACCUGACUAAGAAGCCCCGGCUAACUACGUGCCAGCAGCCGCGGUAAUACGUAGGGGGCAAGCGUUAUCCGGAUUCACUGGGUGUAAAGGGAGCGUAGACGGCGACGCAAGUCUGGAGUGAAAGCCCGGGGCCCAACCCCGGGACUGCUCUGGAAACUGCGGCGCUGGAGUACGGGAGGGGCAGGCGGAAUUCCUGGUGUAGCGGUGAAAUGCGUAGAUAUUAGGAGGAACACCAGUGGCGAAGGCGGCCUGCUGGACGACAACUGACGGUGAGGCGCGAAAGCGUGGGGAGCAAACAGGAUUAGAUACCCUAGUAA